UUGCUGGUUUAAGUAGAGGGUUGCUUUAUUAUGAUCUUCAUUCUACUAUUAUUAAGUC
rfam:Sorex araneus cont1.467625, whole genome shotgun sequence.